UGUUCUUGGUGUUUAAACUUUUAUGGUCUGCAGAAAUAGAAAAAGUGCUUAAAUGUGCCUCUAAAUAUACUGUGGAUUUGAUCUGGAGGUAUCCCCUGCCUUCAUUAGAUCAAGACGUCUAGGAAAGCAGUUGUCAGUGUCAGUCUGGUUCUUUUUGCUCUGUUCUGAGGAGGAAGACAUGGACUUGCUUCGGACUCUAGAGUUACCUGGACAUAUCCAACUGGAAAAUCAGAGUGUUUAUGUCUGGAGCCCUCUACCUGGAGAAUGUUCAGUGUCCUGUGGUAGAGGUAAGACUCAGAUACAGUAUGUAUGUGUGGCUUUUGACACUAAAGAAAAACCCAAGAAGAAAACUGUCAUCCAGUGGCAAAGCCGGAGAGCAGGUUGGAAGACUGCAAUCUCAGUCCCUGCCCACCAAGGUAA
rnacentral:lncRNA from 1 species